UGCCCUAUCGUCUAAUUGGCAGGACACCUCCCUUUGAAGGAGAGAGUUGUGGUUCGAAUCCACAUUGGGUAA
rnacentral:tRNA from 1 species